AGCCUGAACGCUGGCGGCGUGGCUAAGACAUGCAAGUCGCACGGUGUAGCAAUACACAGUGGCGAACGGGUGAGUAAUGAAUCGCUAACUGUACCCCGGACUCUGGGAUAGCUACCCGAAAGGGUAGGUAAUACCAGAUGAGACCACGAUCAGGCAUCUGAUUGUGCUCAAAGGUCCGCCGGUCUGGGAGCAGGCGAUUUCGAUCAGCUAGUUGGUGAGGUAACGGCUCACCAAGGCGACGACGCGUAGCCGGACUGAGAGGUUGGCCGGCCACAUUGGGACUGAGCACUGCCCAGACUCCUACGGGGGCUGCAGUAACGAAUCUU
rnacentral:rRNA from 1 species